GGUCCUAUGGCCUAAUGGUUAAGGCGUCGGUCUACGGAACCGAAGAGUCGGGGUUCGAGUCCCUGUAGGAUCA
rfam:Nematocida sp. 1 ERTm2 unplaced genomic scaffold supercont1.3, whole genome shotgun sequence.